rnacentral:rRNA from 1 species
GUGAGGAAUAUUGCACAAUGGACGCAAGUCUGAUGCAGCAACGCCGCGUGGAGGAUGAAGGUCUUUGGAUUGUAAACUCCUUUUCUCAGGGAAGAGAAUGGACGGUACCUGAGGAAUAAGUCACGGCUAACUACGUGCCAGCAGCCGCGGUAAUACGUAGGUGGCAAGCGUUAUCCGGAAUUACUGGGCGUAAAGCGCACGCAGGCGGUUUCUUAAGUUUGACGUGAAAGCUCCCGGCUUAACUGGGAGAGGUCGUUGAAUACUGAGAGACUUGAGGCAAUGAGAGGGGUGUAGAAUUCCCGGUGUAGUGGUGGAAUGCGUAGAUAUCGGGGGGAAUACCAGUGGCGAAAGCGGCACCCUAGCGUUGUUCUGACGCUCAUGUGCGAAAGCGUGGGGAGCGAACGGGAUUAGAUACCCCAGUAGUCC